GCUAGCAGCCAUAUCACCCUACAACUCACAACUGGCAACCCACUGAAGCUAAGCAGGUGUGAGCCUGGUCAGUACCUGGAUGGGAGACCUCCUGGGAAAAACUAAGGUUGCUGCUGGAA
ensembl:rRNA 5S_rRNA 5S ribosomal RNA